rnacentral:rRNA from 1 species
GUGAGGAAUUUUGCGCAAUGGGGGAAACCCUGACGCAGCAACGCCGCGUGGGUGAAGAAGGCCUUCGGGUCGUAAAGCCCUGUCAGGUGGGAAGAAUGUCCCCAGGGUGAACAAUUUUGGGGAGUGACGGUACCACCAGAGGAAGCACCGGCUAACUCCGUGCCAGCAGCCGCGGUAAUACGGAGGGUGCGAGCGUUGUUCGGAAUCAUUGGGCGUAAAGGGCGUGCAGGCGGUUGGGUAAGUCUGAUGUGAAAGCCCGGGGCUCAACCCCGGAAGUGCAUUGGAAACUGUCCGACUUGAGUACCGGAGAGGAUGGGGGAAUUCCCGGUGUAGAGGUGAAAUUCGUAGAGAUCGGGAGGAAUACCAGUGGCGAAGGCGCCCAUCUGGACGGAUACUGACGCUGAGACGCGAAAGCGUGGGGAGCAAACAGGAUUAGAAACCCCAGUAGUCC